rnacentral:tRNA from 1 species
GCGCCGCUAGCUCAAUUGGCAGAGCAGAUGACUCUUAAUCAUCGGGUUCGGGGUUCAAGUCCCUGGCGGCGCACCA